rnacentral:rRNA from 1 species
AAUUUUAUGUAUAAAUAUAAAAUGGUUCCUGCCCAAUGAAUAUUUUUAAUGGCCGCAGUACUUUGACUGUGCUAAGGUAGCAUAAUAAAUUGGCUUUUGAAUGAGGUCUAGAAUGAAUGGGGUUACGGGUAUAAAUUGUCUCUUAUUAAUUAAUAUUAAAUUAUUUAUUAGGUGAAAAUACCUAAAAGAAAAAGAAAGACGAGAAGACCCUUAGAAUUUUAAUUUUUUUUUUGUUGGGGUGACAUAUUAACAUAAUUAACUUCUUUUUUUUACAAAACGGUUAUAUCAGUAAAGGAAAAAUUACCUUAGGGAUAACAGCAUAAUAUUUCUUUUUGAUUAUGACCUCCAUGUUGGACUAGGAACCUAAUAAUUAGUAAUUAAAUUGGUUAGUUCUGUUCGAACUACUUUUUCCU